rnacentral:rRNA from 1 species
GAUGAACGCUAGCUACAGGCUUAACACAUGCAAGUCGAGGGGCAGCAUGGACAUAGCUUGCUAUGUUUGAUGGCGACCGGCGCACGGGUGCGUAACACGUAUCCAAUCUGCCCGUUACUCGGGGAUAGCCUUGCGAAAGUAAGAUUAAUACCGGAUGUUGUUAAAAACCCGCAUGAGUUUUUAACCAAAGAUUUAUUGGUAAUGGAUGGGGAUGCGUGACAUUAGGUAGUUGGUGAGGUAACGGCUCACCAAGCCUACGAUGUCUAGGGGUUCUGAGAGGAAGGUCCCCCACACUGGAACUGAGACACGGUCCAGACUCCUACGGGAGGCAGCAGUGAGGAAUAUUGGUCAAUGGACGAGAGUCUGAACCAGCCAAGUAGCGUGCAGGAUGACGGCCCUCUGGGUUGUAAACUGCUUUUAGUUGGGAAUAAAAAGAGGGACGUGUCCCUAAUUGUAUGUACCAUCAGAAAAAGGACCGGCUAAUUCCGUG